AUGCUUUGGCAGCACCUACACUAAAAUUGAAAUGAUACACAGAAGGCCAGCGUGGCCAUGUGCAAGAAUAACACGCAAAAGUGUUCAGCAUUUCGUAUUUUU
ensembl:snRNA U6 U6 spliceosomal RNA